UUAAGCUAUAAAGAGCACAGGGUGGAUGCCUAGGCACUGAGAGCCGAUGAAGGACGUGAUAAGCUGCGAAAAGCCACGGGGAGGAGCAAAUAUCCUUUGAGCCGUGGAUAUCCGAAUGGGGGAACCCACUUAAGUAAACCUUAAGUACUGACAAGCCAAUACAUAACUUGCCAGAGGGAACCCGGGGAACUGAAACAUCUAAGUACCCGGAGGAAGAGAAAGAAACAUCGAUUUCCUUAGUAGCGGCGAGCGAAAGGGAAAGAGCCCAAACCGAGAGAUUUAUCUUUCGGGGUUAGGACUGCAUAAUUGAUCUGCGAUUGAUAGGAGAAUGGUCUGGGAAGUCCAGCAGGAAAGCGUGAAAGCCGCGUAUCCGAAAUUGAAAGCAGCAAGGCAGUAUCCAGAGUACCACGAGACACGAGGAACCUUGUGGGAAUGAGCGGAGACCACUCCGUAAGGCUAAAUACUACUCAGUGACCGAUAGCGCAUAGUACUGUGAAGGAAAGGUGAAAAGGACCCCGGGAGGGGAGUGAAAGAGAACCUGAAACCCUGUGUUUACAAGCUGUCGGAGCACGUUAGUGCGACGGCGUACUUUUUGUAGAACGGUCCGGCGAGUUAUGAUACGCGGUAAGGUUAAGGACUUAAGGUCCGGAGCCGAAGCGAAAGCGAGUGUUAAGAGCACGAGGAAUCACGUAUCAUAGACCCGAAACCGGGUGAUCUAUCCAUGUCCAGGAUGAAGCUGCCGUAAGAGGUAGUGGAGGUCCGAACACACAUCCGUUGAAAAGGGUGGUGAUGAGGUGUGGAUAGGGGAGAAAUUCCAAUCGAACCCGGAGAUAGCUGGUUCUCCUCGAAAUAGCUUUAGGGCUAGCCUUCAGUUAGUCUGCCGCAGGUAGAGCACUGAAUUUCCUAGGGGGCGUCAAAGCCUACCGAAGAAUAUCAAACUGCGAAUGGCGGACAGAUGAUGCUGGGGAGUCAGACUGCACGAGAUAAGUUGGGUGGUCAAAAGGGAAAGAGCCCAGACCUACAGCUAAGGUCCCAAAGUGCGUGUUAAGUGGAAAAGGAUGUGGGAUUUCGAAGACAACUAGGAUGUUGGCUCAGAAGCAGCCACACAUUAAAAGAGUGCGUAAUAGCUCACUAGUCGAGAGGUCCUGCGCCGAAAAUGUCCGGGGCUGAAACACGACACCGAAGCUUAGGAACAGAAAUGUUGGUAGAGGAGCAUUGUUAGCGGAACGAAGCCAUACCGGAAGGAGUGGUGGACUGCUAAGAAGAGAGAAUGCCGGAAUGAGUAGCGAGAUUGAAGUGAGAAUCUUCAAGGCCGAAUAUCUAAGGUUUCCAGGGUAAAGCUGAUCUGCCCUGGGUAAGUCGGGGCCUAAGGCGAGGUCGAAAGACGUAGCCGAUGGACAACAGGUUGAAAUUCCUGUACUGCGAUAUAUCAGAAAUGUGGGGACACAGAAGGAAAGUGUGAGCCGGGAAAGGAAAGACCGGUGCAAGCACAGGAGGAGAGAUACAGGCAAAUCCGUAUUUCAAUCCAAUGGUGUUACGCGGAGCGAACAAAAGUAGCGAAGCACACAGACCAUCUGUCGAGAAAAGCCGCUAUUGUGUAUACCGUACCCGUACCGUAAACCGACACAGGUGGAUGAGGAGAGAAUCCUAAGGCCGGCGGGAGAAGCAUUGUUAAGGAACUCGGCAAAAUGACCCCGUAACUUCGGGAGAAGGGGUGCUCACGCAAGUGAGCCGCAGAGAACUGGCCCAAGCAACUGUUUAGCAAAAACACAGGUCUAUGCAAAACCGAAAGGUGAGGUAUAUGGGCUGACGCCUGCCCGGUGCUGGAAGGUUAAGAGGAGAUGUUAGAGCAAUCGAAGCAUUGAAUUUAAGCCCCAGUAAACGGCGGCCGUAACUAUAACGGUCCUAAGGUAGCGAAAUUCCUUGUCGGGUAAGUUC
rnacentral:rRNA from 1 species